UCCGGUUUGGCACCGGCAGUCUCCCUAGAGUUCCCGGCAUUACCCGCUAGCAACUAAGGACAGGGGUUGCGCUCGUUGCGGCACUUAAGCCAACACCUCACGGCACGAGCUGACGACAGCCAUGCAGCACCUGUGCUGGCCCCUUACGGACACGGGCUUUCACCCGCUUUAACCAGCAUGUCAAGCCUAGGUAAGGUUCUUCGCGUUGCAUCGAAUUAAGCCACAUGCUCCGCCGCUUGUGCGGGUCCCCGUCAAUUCCUUUGAGUUUUAGCCUUGCGGCCGUACUCCCCAGGCGGGGCGCUUAAUGCGUUAGCUUCGCCACAAACGGGGUCGAUUCCGUUUACAGCAAAUGCGCACCGUUUACAGCCGGGACUAC
rnacentral:misc_RNA from 1 species